GAUGGGGCAUCACUUCAAGUUCAAAAAUUGAAGGAAGAGCUCGUCAACCGGUGGCGAAGGAGAGUGUGGGCUAAGCUGGCUUUUAGCUCAGCCGAAUUUAGGGAAAAAGUUUUUACUUUUAUUUGCAAAACUAUCACUACUUCAAUUUUACAAAAUUGCCACUAAUGUAUAUUACGAAAUUGCUAGUGCUGUGACUUAUUGAGGGAUUUUACUAGGCCACAAUUGCCA
rnacentral:lncRNA from 1 species